rnacentral:lncRNA from 1 species
AAAACAACAGAGAACACUCACUCCAUGUUCAGCAUGAAGGAGAACUGCAUGAUCCAGGGAGGUUUAGGGGACCAAGAAGGUGGAUAGGCUCUAACUGGGGCAGGCAGCAGGUGCGGCUGCAGAAAAGCGAAGGACUCCGAGCCCCGUGGUGCCUGCCUAAGAGUGAGCCAAACUCAGAAAGCCUGAGGCCCUUCUAGAUGAAAGCAGGUUCCGGGGCCCUGUGGUGGCUUGUGCACACUGCAGUCUAUCUGCAGGCUCACUUUGGCGUAGGACGGCACCUGGACCCACUGGAUUCCGGCUCCCAUGCUCCCCUCUGGAAGUACAAGUCCUGGGCCAGGCGCAUGUGAACCUCCAUGGUGAAUGCAGCAGCUUCCUCUGCAGAUUCCUAGCGAGGUAGUGGCUGGAUGCCGCGAGAGACAGAUGAACCUCCUGUUUGUCCUCAAGGCGGGUAGUUUCCGUGUAGGAUCUCGCUUGUCCUUACAGGUGCCAUCUGAUCCUUGCUCACAUCCUCAGCUGGCGUUCCUUCCUGACUGCUGGAGUGGCUGACCUGAAGAGACUUCCCACUCAACACUGCAGGCAGAGGGGACAGCCCGGAGAGACUUGCCCGCCAGCUCUCACUUUGCAUAUAAUCUCACUCCUAAAUAAAUCCCUCAGCUCAGGGGUCCCCAAACUUUCUCUGCGUGUGGUGCCCUUAAUUUCUCAGUACUCUCUUCUUAGUGCACCUGGGCCAAAAGAAAUACCAAACAGUUCCAUUAAUUAAGUGGUUAGAUCCAAAUGACGUAGGUAUGUUUGUAAUAGCUGUUUGAAAAGAAAAUAUACAUACAUUGAAAGAAAAAAUAAUAUUUGAUUUUCCUCUUAAAUAAGCAGUGCCGAUGGGAUAUGUGCCUGUUGGACAAGGCCCAACUUCUCCAACCUUGGAAUCAAGUUGGACACUGUUGCCCUCAUUUUCUGUCCCACACCAUUUUACCUCAAAGCAAUCAUUGAAAACCCAGCUUUGGAAAGAUAUGACAACUGUGAAAGGAAUAUACUGCAAUCUGAUGUUCGAACUGUGAACUUCCUCAAUCGAGUAGUUCCCAAGGUGUCCAAGAAGGGUCAGCUAUCAAUGUAUAUCCUCUGAAAACUGGAAAUAUUCCAUGGCACCCCUGUGAACUCACUGUGGCCCCUACAGUUUGAGAACCAUAGCCUUGUCUCAUAUUGCUUCUGAUACACAGAGUGCCAUGCUGAUUUGGGUGUAUUCUUUUCCUGUCUUUGUACUCUCCACAUAUAUUAUAAAAUGUGGACCAGAAGAAUUCUAUAUUUCCCUUUUUUUAAUUUGACAAUGUUAUGAGUGUAUUCCCAUGUCAAUAAAAAUUCUUUUAAAAAUUAUUUAUAUCUGAAUCAUAUACCAAAUUUACCAAUAUCGAAUUUAAUCUUCCUCCAGUCCUUGAAUUUUCCAGCUGUAUUUCAUUUUGCUAUUAUCUGUCAAUAUUCCUUAAAAUGGAUUUCUAGAAGCAGUAUUACCAAAUGAACUUCUUAAACAAUCUUGAUAACUAUUGUUAAAUUGCUUUUCAGAAAUAAUGCACUAAUUUAUAUUCCAAUAAAAAAUACAUGGCAGUGGCUAUUUUGCCACAUUCUUAACUGCACUGGGUAUUUCCAUUAAUAAAAUAAAAUCUCCUC